rnacentral:piRNA from 1 species
UGCUAUGGUUUGCUGUAGAGUGCCUUGGCA